GGGGAUAUAGCUCAGUGGUAGAGCAGUGCUUUUGCACAGCAAAGGUCAGCGGUUCGACUCCGCUUAUCUCCA
rnacentral:tRNA from 1 species